GGCCCGCACAAGCGGUGGAGCAUGUGGUUUAAUUCGAUGCAACGCGAAGAACCUUACCUGGUCUUGACAUCCACAGAACUUUCCAGAGAUGGAUUGGUGCCUUCGGGAACUGUGAGACAGGUGCUGCAUGGCUGUCGUCAGCUCGUGUUGUGAAAUGUUGGGUUAAGUCCCGCAACGAGCGCAACCCUUAUCCUUUGUUGCCAGCGGUCCGGCCGGGAACUCAAAGGAGACUGCCAGUGAUAAACUGGAGGAAGGUGGGGAUGACGUCAAGUCAUCAUGGCCCUUACGACCAGGGCUACACACGUGCUACAAUGGCGCAUACAAAGAGAAGCGACCUCGCGAGAGCAAGCGGACCUCAUAAAGUGCGUCGUAGUCCGGAUUGGAGUCUGCAGCUCGACUCCAUGAAGUCGGAAUCGCUAGUAAUCGUGGAUCAGAAUGCCACGGUGAAUACGUUCCCGGGC
rnacentral:rRNA from 1 species